rnacentral:lncRNA from 12 species
CCUUGCUGUUGUCACAGCUAAAUGGAGUGAUUCAUUAGCCCUUGUGAGAAACUCCUGACUGUCAUUCUUAGAAGCUAUUACCCUUACCAUGCCAUAUCAAGUCAGUAUUCAAGGAAAACUGAAAUCUCUCCUUCUCUGAACUCUCCUAGUACUUUGAGUCUACAAUUCCCACAGCCCUUAUCAACGGAGCCCUGUUCCUGGAUUAUUUCUGCCCUCAUAGGGCUCAGCCCCCUGCCCGACUUCACUCUGCAACAUCUGCACAACUGGCUCGGGUCAGCUCCAUGUGCCUCACUAUGGCUGGCAGGACGAAGUGGCUGAGAAAGUAAUUGAGACCUUCAGAGUAAGAGAAAAAUACAACCUCAACAGCAAGCAAUGUAAAUUAACCUCUUCAACCUGCCUUCAAGUGUUUCUCCAUGUGUGGACCUCAAGAAGCAGCAGAGUCACAGACUAAACCAGAAUUUCUGUGGACAAUUUAACAUACAAUUAAAUGAAGAUUCCUGGGCCCCCCCUCAAAUCUACUGGAUCAGAUGCUUUAUGGUCACACGGAAGAUUGUAUUCCACCUUUAGAGACAUGUGGCUGAAUGGCUACCAUCAGAUACAUUCCAUUUUCCUUCAUGAAGAGGUAAGGCUAUUGACUGCAUGCGCCAGCCCUGACUCCUGCCUUGUUGACAGCUCUGUCUAAGGAAGUUCACCACAUACUAGCCAUGCAAACCUCUAGGACUUUGUUCCUCUUCUGUAAACUGAAAAUAAUCAUAGAACAGCUUCAUGGGUUGAUUAAGUGAAUAUGAAAGUGAAUUAAAUUAAUAUUGAUUAAAUAAAUGUGACGAUUAAAUAAAACA